GUGCAAUGAUGAGCUUACACUUCUGGUCCGUGUUUUUGACACAUAAUGAUACUGUUAGAAGUUCUGAGUCA
rnacentral:snoRNA from 1 species